GGCAGAGUCAGGGUAGUUGCAAGCAGAAGCAGGGCGAAGCAAGAUGGACAUGCCGUACUGAGAAAAGAAAGCCUGGUAUCUCAUCUGGCUUGAACUUGUGUGGGCCCUAUGCACGCUGCUAGAGUCUCGAUAUCACUGCUGUCAUCCUUGGUCAAGUAAACUUCUGCAUGCAGUGGGCGCCAGUUACUACAGAGACUCACAACUGGUCAAAAAAUACUAUGAAAAUAAGACUGCUGAACACGCACCUAUAAAAGUGAUAUCUAAAUCAUCCCCUCCAACCUCAGGGAAUAUUACAGUAGAGGGGCUGAAAUGAUGAGCCGUGUUUACCUAUAUGAGAUUCACAGAAGAUUGGGCCCAUUAAUGUCUGUCAUGGGGAAAGGAGGACUGACCCCUUCCUGAAUAAAUAAAGCUGGUUAAUGGCUGCUGA